AUGCACCGCUCGUGCACUGCGGUUGAUAUGCGCUGUGCACGCCCACCUGAUAACGGCUCGCUACGUUUUGCUGGCC
rnacentral:sRNA from 1 species